GCAGGUACCGGCGCGGGCUGCGCAGCCCCAGGCGCGAGAGCUGCGCUGACGGGCGGGCGGAAGGACGGUCCCCUGCGGGAGCCAGGGACCGCGGCGUGCGAGCGGGCGGGAUUCGCGCCAGCCCAGGCACGGUCCGAAGUCCGCGCUAUGGGAGAAGAGAAAUACUUGCCUGAGCUGAUGGCAGAGAAGGAUAGCCUGGAUCCAUCUUUUGUGCACGCGUCGCGCCUUCUGGCGGAAGAAAUUGAGAAAUUUCAGGGUUCCGAUGGAAAAAAGGAAGACGAAGAAAAGAAAUAUCUCGAUGUCAUCAGCAACAAAAACAUAAAACUGUCUGAAAGAGUAUUGAUCCCCGUGAAACAAUACCCAAAGUUCAAUUUCGUUGGGAAAUUGCUUGGACCAAGAGGAAACUCCUUGAAGAGGCUACAGGAAGAAACAGGUGCUAAGAUGUCUAUCUUGGGCAAAGGAUCCAUGCGCGAUAAAGCAAAGGAAGAAGAGUUGAGGAAGAGUGGGGAGGCCAAGUACGCACACCUGAGCGACGAACUGCAUGUAUUAAUUGAAGUGUUUGCUCCACCCGGGGAAGCUUAUUCACGAAUGAGUCAUGCCUUGGAGGAGAUUAAAAAAUUCCUGGUUCCUGACUACAAUGAUGAAAUUCGCCAAGAACAGCUCCGGGAGUUGUCUUACUUAAAUGGCUCAGAAGAGUCUGGCCGUGGCCGAGGUCUUAGAGGCAGAGGAAUCAGAAUUACUCCCAUAGCUCCUUCAAGGGGCCGUGGGGGUGCUGUUCCUCCACCACCACCACCUGGACGUGGUGUUCUUACCCCUCGGGGGACCACUGUUACCCGUGGAGCUCUUCCAGUGCCCCCAAUAGCCAGAGGUGUCCCUACACCUCGUUCCAGGGGGACAGCAGCUGUACCAGGAUAUAGAGCACCCCCACCUCCAGCCCAUGAGGCUUAUGAAGAAUAUGGGUACGAUGACGGCUAUGGGGGUGAAUAUGAUGACCAGACCUACGAGGCUUACGAUAACAGCUACGUGACCCCGACACAAAGUGUGCCUGAAUACUAUGACUACGGUCAUGGAGUAAAUGAGGAUGCCUAUGACAGCUACGCAACAGAAGAAUGGGCCACAACUCGCUCCAGCCUGAAGGCACCACCAUCAAGGUCAGCCAGAGGGGGAUACAGGGAACACCCCUAUGGUAGAUAUUGAAGGUCCUCCUCACCUGUGACCUCCUCAAAGACAGUUCAUAGCCUCUGGUCUCCACAUAAACAGCAACAAGACAAGUACGCACAAAGAACACAUAAGUGGUAGCAGAUGUGAUGGGCUAAGGAGGAUAAAGGAUUUCAUUCCUUUGUAUGGCUGAAUAGUAUGACUGAAUAGCUAUGCAUAUGGACGGCAUUUACUCUACCUGUUCAUCGGGUGAUGGCCAUGUUGGUAUUUCCAUGUCUUGACUACUGUGGGUAGAGCUGCAUUGAACACAGGAGUGCAGACUCAUAAAAACUUCCUCAAGAGAGACCAAUCAUAGCUAGAAUGAUGGUAGUCAAACUGUUUUCCUACAACAUGGAAUAUAAAAGCACUUAACUAUAAAAGGCUAAACAAGAAGUUGAUUUAGCCCAGGACUGGGGAAAAAAGGCAUCCUAAAAGAGAUGAGACUGGAUGGAAUGGUCAGAUGUGGAGAAAACGUAAAACUAUGACACAUCUGACCUUCAUUCAGCUGAGUCAUAAAUACCAUGUGCAGGACAUCAUACUGGAGGAUAAGUGUGGAUCGCAGAUGUCUGUAAAGCAGGUCCCCACCUCCCGGACUCUAGAAUCUGGAGGAAAAAUAAUGGUUAAAAUGCACAGAGAACAAUACAGAUUUUCAUUACUGAAAUAUUCAAAUGGCAGCUGACAUAUUCAAUUCAUCAAAGAAAAUAUAUGUUGGAUAUGACACAGUAUUAUUGAUACUGCCAGAAGCCCAGGGAGAACUGAGGACAAAGCCUCUUGUAGCUUGAACUGCUGGAUUAGAAGGAUUGCAAUUUCUAAUUGCAAUUUGCUAAUGGAGACAACACGCUGCUGAGGAAAGCGAGGGAAAUUCAUAGUGUGUGGUCGCUGAUACAACUAACUCGAAAUAAAGCACGUUCGGAGUACAAAAAAACGAAAAGGUGAUAAAGCUCAAAUCUGGAAGAGAAAUAGUUAAAUACAAGUUGUGUUUAGGGGCCAUGUAGCUUUCAGUGUUUCAGGAAUAGAUAAUAAAAUGUAUAAAGGAACAAUGCAACCCCUGGCAUUAUAAAAAGCAAUCAUAUUGUUGA